rnacentral:rRNA from 1 species
AGUGAACGCUGGCGGUAGGCCUAACACAUGCAAGUCGAACGGCAGCACAGUAAGAGCUUGCUCUUACGGGUGGCGAGUGGCGGACGGGUGAGGAAUACAUCGGAAUCUACUUUUUCGUGGGGGAUAACGUAGGGAAACUUACGCUAAUAUCGCAUACGACCUACGGGUGAAAGCAGGGGAUCUUCGGACCUUGCGCGAUUGAAUGAGCCGAUGUCGGAUUAGCUAGUUGGCGGGGUAAAGGCCCACCAAGGCGACGAUCCGUAGCUGGUCUGAGAGGAUGAUCAGCCACACUGGAACUGAGACACGGUCAAGACUCCUACGGGAGGCAGCAGUGGGGAAUAUUGGACAAUGGGCGCAAGCCUGAUCCAGCCAUACCGCGUGGGUGAAGAAGGCCUUCGGGUUGUAAAGCCCUUUUGUUGGGAAAGAAAAGCAGCAGGUUAAUACCCCGCUGUUCUGACGGUACCCAAAGAAUAAGCACCGGCUAACUUCGUG